GUCAUAACAUUACCAAAUUGAAGAGAACUGCUCAGAAUAACAUCUCAAGCACCAUCUCAACCACACGUGCAAAUGAAGAGUGUUGAGAAGUAUCUGAACCUGGAGCAGUCUACACUAAACACCUGGCCACCUCUCAGGAUUCUCAAAAAGCAAAUGAAGGGAAGUGUCAGGGAGCAAGUGGAGGGAAGAAGAAAGAAAAAGAGUCGAAGAAUGAAGAACCCCUCAGGGAGCAUUCACAGUGCCAAAGAGAUACUCAUUUUCAAGCACCAUCUGUCAAGAUCUACUCGGAGCUUUUUCUUUCUCUGUAUUUAUUCCCUCCCCCAGGUUUUACCAUCCCACUGCUUCAAUGGCUUGAGCAACAAAAUGUUAUCUUGAGACUGAGUAAACCACAGUGAGAGUCAACUCCAAUAGGCAUGGUUUGGAUGCUAGAGACAUUUGUCUGCAGUGAUAGACUUGCAACUUUCUUUCACUGCUGCUAUGGUACAAGUUUCAAGAAAGGAAAGAAAAAUAAAACUCUGAGAUUUGCCCCAAAAGUCUGGGUGAGUCUGCCAGUUGAGAUAACAUCCUUCCCUAGAUCAGCUGUGAAAGAGCAACAUUAACUCUGCCUCCAUGCAAGCAGUUGCUGAAUGGAGACUAAUUCCACAACUCAGUUUUGAAACCUUUUUCCAUUCUGUUUAAAUCUAUACAUCAUCUGAUUUGUUAAAGUAAUUUAUUGAGAUGUAGCAACUUCAACAGGCAAUAGGACCUUCUCAUCUUCCUAGAAGUUUGUAUUAGACAACCCUUAGGUUACAAAGAAUGCAGAUGUUAUAUUUAUUAUUUACUAAUAUUUAUAUGCCAUGUUUAAGUCAUGUGUGAUAACUCCAUAGAGAAAGUAAUGACCAUGAGAGAUCACAGGUUGUCAUUCCUAAGUAACAACAUAUUUAUCAGGAGUGAUGAGGGCAGCAAGUCCAGUGUUUCUGAACCAUGAAAUCCAGUAUUGCCAGAAUGGUUGGCUGGGAAAAUAGCAGUUGUGUUUUACCAGAAAUUCCAGGCAUCCUACUUCAUUUGUGGAUUCUUUAGUAUGAUUCUCAAGUUCUCAUACAAGUGGAACAGAAGUAGGGUUGAACAAAGCUACUUAAGGAUAACCACUAUAAAAAGCAGCUACAGAAUUUUCCAUUGGAUAUAGUACACAGACAAAU
ensembl:lncRNA